rnacentral:rRNA from 1 species
AUGAAUAGACACCUAUGUAUUCUAUCUUGGAACGUCAGUGGUCUGGGUCGCCCGGACAAAUGUAAUGAUGUGAACUCGGCUUUGUUAAGCAACCCCUCUGUGGUUAUUUAUUUGCAAGAGGCCAAACUCCAGGACAUAGACACUUUUAAAGCCUCCACCUUUCUCCCACCUUUGUCUAGGAAUUUUAACUUCUAUCCAUCUCAUGGAGCCUCGGGUGGGCUGCUCACGUCUUGGGACAACGACUCCGUCAUUUGCACUAAAACUCAUUCUGACAUCUUCUCACUAACAUGCUGGUUCGAGUUCAGGGCGACUGACCGCUCCUUUGUGAUCACUAAUGUUUACGACCCUUGUGAUCACUCGCUAAAGCCUGUUUUCCUCAACUCCCUAUCUACUCUCAAGACGAUGAUCACCGGCCCCUCGACUAUCAUCGGUGAUUUUAACUUGACUCUCCACCCUUCCGAGAGAUCGAACGCAAAUUUUAAUCACGCCGAGGCAAUGCUAUUUUCUUCCACGAUUCAUUUGUUGCAGCUGCAAGAUCUCCCUCUACUCGAACGCAUAUACACUUGCUGCAAUCAACAAUACAAUCCCAUUUUGGUUAAGCUAGACCGCGCCUUAAUCAACGUACUUUGGUCCCAAUCCGUCCCGGACUCCUCGCUAAUAUCUUGCUCUCGGACUACCUCCGACCAAGUGCCUAUAUGCCUGUCGGCAUCCACGUCGAUACCUAAGUCUAGGGUGUUCCGCUUGCACAACAACUUACUACACCACCCCCUUUUCAAAGACUUGGUGAAGAAAAACUGGUCUAGCAUCAACCACGGCCACCUGGACCCCGCGGGCAAGAUUUGCCUUAAAAUUAAGAGGACUAGAUGCAUGGCUAAACAAUGGGCUUUCAACGCAAAAUCUCCCAAAACCAUUGCAAAAAACUUCUCAACCACCAUCACUUUUUUGGACAAACUAGAGGAGUUUCAACUUCGCGUAGCGGUCAAGCUCUCCCUUCACCUCCACAAUUAA